CCUACGGGAGGCAGCAGUGGGGAAUAUUGCACAAUGGGGGAAACCCUGAUGCAGCAACGCCGCGUGAGCGAUGAAGGCCUUCGGGUCGUAAAGCUCUGUCCUAAGGGAAGAAUACUGACGGUACCUUAGGAGGAAGCCCCGGCUAACUACGUGCCAGCAUCCGCGGUAAUACGUAGGGGGCUAGCGUUAUCCGGAAUUACUGGGCGUAAAGGGUGCGUAGGCGGGCCUUCAAGUCAGAGGUGAAAGGCUACGGCUCAACCGUGGUAAGCCUUUGAAACUGUAGGGCUUGAGUGCUGGGGAAGGGAGUGGGAUUCCCAGUGUAGCGGUGAAAUGCGGAGAGAUUGGGAGGAAGAGCAGUUGCGAAGGCGGCUCUCUGGACUGUAACUGACGCUGAGGCACGAAAGCGUGGGGAGCGAACAGGAUUAGAUACCCGGGUAGUC
rnacentral:rRNA from 1 species